ACUACACCUGCACAGUUCGGAAUCGUUGGGGUGAAGAUCACGGUACUUGGGAGUUGAUGGCAUUGGCUCCACCAUCCCCAACACGUCUUACCCUUUCAAGCGCAUCACCAACCGCUCUACUUCUUGCGUGGGACUCUUCUGGAGCUCAUAGUUAUAGCUUAGAAUACGCGCGAGGCGAAGCUCCAUGGCAGUAUCGUUGGGUUUGGGGCGAAGCACGAAGUACGUCACUUCGUGGACUGGCUUGUGGAGCCUCCUACCGAGUGAGACUGCGAGCUAUGGGAGAUGCUGGAGCGGCAGUAAGUGACGUACUACGUACUGCAACACCUGGUGGAUUAUCAAAAGCAGCACUUGAGAAACAGCUGAUCAGCACAAAUAGCACCUGUGUUAAGUUGAACAUGCUGACCUGGGACUGUAACGGCUGUCCGCUGAUUCAUUUCAUUAUAUCCAUCCGAGGGUUUGAGGAGUUUUCCUGGAAGUCAGAGAGCGUAGAAUUGGAGGCUAGUCCAGUAACUUUCUGUACUCUUCGACCAGCUACCUGGUACCAUUUGAGGAUCGUUGCAACUACCACAGCUGGAGUCACUACAGCAACUUAUUACUUCGCUAC